CCCAGUUUAGUCAGCCCGGUUCUAGCUCUCCCGUUAGUCAGCCCGGGUAGUUCUCCCCGUUAGUUCAUGCCCGGUUAGUCUCCCCAGUUAGUCAGCCCGGUUAGUCUCCCCAGUUAGUCAGCCCGGUUAGUCUCCCCCAGUUAGUCAGCCCGGUUAGUCUCCCCAGUUAGUCAGCCCGGUAAGUCUCCCCGGUUAGUCAGCCCGGUAAGGUCUCCCCGGUUAGUCUCCCCGGUUUGUCAGCCUGGUAGUCUCCCCAGUUGGUCAGGCCCGGUUAGUCUCCCCCGUUGGUCAGCCGGUGUAGUCUCCCCAGUUGGUCAGACGUGGUUCUCCCAGUUAGUCAGCCCGGUUUUAGUAUCCCCAGUUAGU
rnacentral:lncRNA from 1 species